rnacentral:rRNA from 1 species
CCUACGGGAGGCAGCAGUGGGGAAUUUUGGACAAUGGGCGCAAGCCUGAUCCAGCCAUGCCGCGUGCGGGAAGAAGGCCUUCGGGUUGUAAACCGCUUUUGUCAGGGAAGAAAUCUUCUGAGUUAAUACCUCGGGAGGAUGACGGUACCUGAAGAAUAAGCACCGGCUAACUACGUGCCAGCAGCCGCGGUAAUACGUAGGGUGCGAGCGUUAAUCGGAAUUACUGGGCGUAAAGCGUGCGCAGGCGGUCUUGCAAGACAGGUGUGAAAUCCCCGGGCUUAACCUGGGAACUGCACUUGUGACUGCAAGGCUGGAGUACGGCAGAGGGGGAUGGAAUUCCGCGUGUAGCAGUGAAAUGCGUAGAUAUGCGGAGGAACACCGAUGGCGAAGGCAAUCCCCUGGGCCUGUACUGACGCUCAUGCACGAAAGCGUGGGGAGCAAACAGGAUUAGAUACCCUGGUAGUCCACGCCCUAAACGAUGUCAACUGGUUGUUGGACGGCUUGCUGUUCAGUAACGAAGCUAACGCGUGAAGUUGACCGCCUGGGGGAGGUACGGCCGCGAGUAGAACGUACGAAAGGAAGUUAGACGGCGUGAGACGUGACCGAACGGACGACGACGAGGGAGGUUAGG